CGUAAAGCGCGCGCAGGCGGUUUCUUAAGUCUGAUGUGAAAGCCCACGGCUCAACCGUGGAGGGUCAUUGGAAACUGGGGAACUUGAGUGCAGAAGAGAAAAGCGGAAUUCCACGUGUAGCGGUGAAAUGCGUAGAGAUGUGGAGGAACACCAGUGGCGAAGGCGGCUUUUUGGUCUGUAACUGACGCUGAGGCGCGAAAGCGUGGGGAGCAAACAGGAUUAGAUACCCUGGUAGUCCACGCCGUAAACGAUGAGUGCUAAGUGUUAGAGGGUUUCCGCCCUUUAGUGCUGCAGCUAACGCAUUAAGCACUCCGCCUGGGGAGUACGGUCGCAAGACUGAAACUCAAAGGAAUUGACGGGGGCCCGCACAAGCGGUGGAGCAUGUGGUUUAAUUCCAAGCAACGCGAAGAACCUUACC
rnacentral:rRNA from 2 species